rnacentral:rRNA from 1 species
UACAAGUAGUAGGGAAGGAAACUGGACCGACCUUCGGGGAGCUUGUACAGGUGCUGCAUGGCUGUCGUCAGCUCGUGUCGUGAGAUGUCGGUUAAGUCGCUAACGAGCGCAACCCUCGCUGUGUGUUACAAGUGUCACACGGGAACUGCCGGUCAUAAACCGGAGAAGGUGGGGAUGACGUCAAGUCAGCAUGGCCUUUAUAUCCUGGGCUACACACACGCUACAAUGGGAAGGGACAAUAGGUUGCGAAGCCGCGAGGCGGAGCCAAUCCAGCAAAACUUCCCUCAGUUCAGAUUGCAGGCUGCAACUCGCCUGCAUGAAGUUGGAGUUGCUAGUAAACGCAGGUCAGCCAUACUGCGUUGAAUACGUUCCCGGGGCUU